AUGGCGAUGAAUUACCAUGGGAGUAGUGGAGGCAUAAUGGAGUUAGCAAAAAAGUUGUGUUUUUACGACACUCCAAACAAUAUAAGAGAAUUUUUGGAGAUUGACGGUAUAUAUGUAACUACAGCUCAAGUCAGUAGCCAUCUGCAGAAAUACAGAAAAGAUUGUCGUACUGGUGGGCUAUCAAUCAUGCCAAGCUCUAUGCCAUCACAUUCUAAUAGUACUUCCAAGAACAAUUUGGAAUCUCAAGAGAGUGGGGGAAGUUACAGAUUCCAUAUGAGAUCUCAGGAAGCAAGAGAUAUUAACCAAACCAGCUGGCUAAGCGGCGGUGCAUCACAAGUUGACUAUGGCGUUCUUGGAAAUGGGAACCAAACAACUAAUCUUGGUUCGGGUGCUGCUUAUGGUCAUGGUUAUCAUCAUGGUACUGGCAUUGGUGACAUAAAUGGUUAUGAUCAUCAUUAUGGUACUGUUAGUGCUAAUGAUUACGGUCAGCACUAUGGUAAUGGCAAUAAUAAAUCUUAUAGUUAUCAUCACGGUAAUUCUAGUGAUCAUAAUUAUGAUAAUCGGAAUGGUGGUCGCCGUGGAGUUAGAACAAGUGGAAGCAUGGCAGGUGCGUCAAUGCCAUCCAACCUAGCACCGCCAGUACUACAUGGAAUGGGUCGAGAUGCUUCCUCUGCUGGUCAGGCCAGUGCAGUGCAGCCUCAAAACCUUGAUAGAGUUUCUUCAAACUGGGGCAACACUAGCAGAUUUCAGUAUGAUGGUAUUACAAUUCUUUUUACACUAAUUUGUGAAUUAAGGGAGAAAUUGAUUGCACCAAGAGUUGUUGCAUCAGUGAGAUCGGUGUUAAGUCCAAGCCUGAAGAUGGUGACCUAG
rnacentral:rRNA from 1 species